rnacentral:rRNA from 1 species
GGCAGGCCUAACACAUGCAAGUCGAGCGGUAGCACAGAGAGCUUGCUCUCGGGUGACGAGCGGCGGACGGGUGAGUAAUGUUUGGGAAACUGCCUGAUGGAGGGGGAUAACUACUGGAAACGGUAGCUAAUACCGCAUAAUGUCGCAAGACCAAAGUGGGGGACCUUCGGGCCUCAUGCCAUCAGAUGUGCCCAGAUGGGAUUAGCUAGUAGGUGGGGUAACGGCUCACCUAGGCGACGAUCCCUAGCUGGUUUGAGAGGAUGACCAGCCACACUGGAAAUGAGACACGGUCCAGACUCCUACGGGAGGCAGCAGUGGGGAAUAUUGCACAAUGGGCGCAAGCCUGAUGCAGCCCUGCCGCGUGUAUGAAGAAGGCCUUCGGGUUGUAAAGUACUUUCAGCGGGGAGGAAGGUGCUGAGGUUAAUAACCUCAGCCAUUGACGUUACCCGCAGAAGGAGCACCGGCUAACUCCGUGCCCGCCGCCGCGGU